GAUGAAGAACGUAUCGAAAUGCGAUAAGUAAUGCGAAUUGCAGAAUUCAGUGAAUCAUCGAAUCUUUGAACGCACAUUGCGCCCGCUAGUAUUCUGGCGGGCAUGCCUGUCUGAGCGUCAUUUCAACCCUCGCCCCCGGCUUUUGCUGGGAGCGGUGUUGGGGAUCGGCCGCCCGUCACUGGGAGGCCGGCCCCGAAAUAGAGUGGCGACCACGCCGUGUGCUCCUCUGCGUAGUAGUAAAUCACCUCGCAGGCGGACAGCGGUGCGGCCUGCCGUAAAACCCCCAACUCUUUCUGGUUGACCUCAGAUCAGGUAGGAAUACCCGCUGAACUUAAGCAUAUCAAUAAGCGGAGGA
rnacentral:misc_RNA from 1 species